rnacentral:piRNA from 1 species
UAAAAAUGACCUAAGAGCGAAUAGUGU